UACGUAGGGGGCGAGCGUUAUCCGGAUUUACUGGGCGUAAAGAGCGCGUAGGCGGUUCCGCAAGUUGGUUGUGAAAGUUCGAGGCUCAACCUCGAAACUGCGUCCAAAACUGCGGGGCUAGAGUGCAAGAGAGGCAAGUGGAAUUCCCGGUGUAGUAGUGAAAUGCGUAGAUAUCGGGAGGAACACCAGUGGCGAAGGCGGCUUGCUAGCUUGCAACUGACGCUGAGGCGCGAAAGCUAGGGGAGCGAACGGG
rnacentral:rRNA from 1 species